rnacentral:rRNA from 1 species
GUUUGAUCAUGGCUCAGGAUGAACGCUAGCUACAGGCUUAACACAUGCAAGUCGAGGGGCAGCAUGAACUUAGCUUGCUAAGUUUGAUGGCGACCGGCGCACGGGUGAGUAAUACGUAUCCAACCUGCCGAUGACUCGGGGAUAGCCUUUCGAAAGAAAGAUUAAUACCCGAUGGCAUAGUUCUUCCGCAUGGUGGAACUAUUAAAGAAUUUCGGUCAUCGAUGGGGAUGCGUUCCAAUAGAUUGUUGGCGGGGUAACGGCCCACCAAGCCUUCGAUGGAUAGGGGUUCUGAGAGGAAGGUCCCCCACAUUGGAACUGAGACACGGUCCAAACUCCUACGGGAGGCAGCAGUGAGGAAUAUUGGUCAAUGGACGAGAGUCUGAACCAGCCAAGUAGCGUGAAGGAUGACUGCCCUAUGGGUUGUAAACUUCUUUUAUACGGGAAUAAAGUGAGGCACGUGUGCCUUUUUGUAUGUACCGUAUGAAUAAGGAUCGGCUAACUCCGUGCCAGCGGCCGCGGUAAUACGGAGGAUCCGAGCGUUAUCCGGAUUUAUUGGGUUUAAAGGGAGCGUAGGCGGACGCUUAAGUCAGUUGUGAAAGUUUGCGGCUCAACCGUAAAAUUGCAGUUGAUACUGGGUGUCUGAGUACAG